rnacentral:rRNA from 1 species
UACGAAGGGGGCUAGCGUUGUUCGGAUUUACUGGGCGUAAAGCGCGUGUAGGCGGGCUGGCAAGUUGGGGGUGAAAUCCCGAGGCUCAACCUCGGAACUGCCUCCAAAACUUCCAGCCUGGAGCAAGAUAGAGGCAAGUGGAAUUGCGAGUGUAGAGGUGAAAUUCGUAGAUAUUCGCAGGAACACCAGUGGCGAAGGCGACUUGCUGGAUCUUUGCUGACGCUGAGACGCGAAAGCGUGGGGAGCAAACAGG